UGUGUUUGCAAAGGUGCCCAGGAGACUUACGGCUCAAUCAACACGAGAUGAGCAUACUCUAUGAGGCAAAGAAGAAAGGGAACAGCUUCUUAUUAAAACACAUCAUCUCUUUGCUGCCAAGCACUGAGCUCCACAAGACAGAAGGUUUUUUUCCUUCCUUUACUAAAACCCUAAAGA
rfam:Gallus gallus isolate RJF #256 breed Red Jungle fowl, inbred line TCD001 chromosome 4, whole genome shotgun sequence.